GCAGCCGCGGUAAUACAGAGGGUGCGAGCGUUAAUCGGAUUUACUGGGCGUAAAGCGUGCGUAGGCGGCUUCUUAAGUCGGAUGUGAAAUCCCUGAGCUUAACUUAGGAAUUGCAUUCGAUACUGGGAAGCUAGAGUAUGGGAGAGGAUGGUAGAAUUCCAGGUGUAGCGGUGAAAUGCGUAGAGAUCUGGAGGAAUACCGAUGGCGAAGGCAGCCAUCUGGCCUAAUACUGACGCUGAGGUACGAAAGCAUGGGGAGCAAACAGGAUUAGAUACCCCCGUAGUCCCUGUCUCUUAUACACC
rnacentral:rRNA from 1 species